rnacentral:lncRNA from 1 species
UCUCUACACAGGCAGGGACCUGGCUAUCACUCAUCCUUCUGGAUCACCCGGUGCUGGGUCAGCUGACCUCCAAAGCGCCAGGAUCUAAACUCAAGGGAAUUCAGCCCCUCUGGGUUUUACUGCCAGAUGUUAUGGAGAUUAGUCUUUCCUGUGUCAGCUCCCUCGUGUGAGGGCUCACUUUCUCUGCUCCUUCUGCAGGCAGCCAGCCUCCAACUUUCUGACCUUCCUAACCUUCCUGCUGCAGCUUCUAUUUAGGUGCGGAGUUUGUUGUGCCAGUCUUGGAUCCCUCUCUGGUUCAUGGACUUGGAUGUGGAUGUUAUGCAGUUGAAAACAUGGGACAGCGUGAGCUCAGGGUCUGCUUACUCUGCUAUUAUUAAUUUUUUAAGUGUAUUAUUUUGGAUUUUUGAGACAUGGGCAGACAGACUCAUCUCACCCUUGCACUUCAGGAUUAGAAAGGAACGUUCCCACAUUUGCUUCUAGCAUUUUAUGUUUUGAAACUCUCUUUAAUGAGGUAUAAUUUACAUAUAACAAAGAGCCUCAAAUUAAAGGGUAUAAUUUGAUGAAACUUGAUCUCAUGGAUACAGCACCAUGAAGUCCUAUGGUUGCUCUCUAAACCUUAAUCAUGAUCCCUUUGUGUCUAGAGCUAAUGUUGCUUUUGGAGUAAGGACUUUUUUUUUUUUUUUUACGUUUUCAGAUAUUGCCCAGGUGGCUGAGGCCUGCACUAGGGUACCUACCUCCUUUUCGGAUAGACUGUAUUCCCCUGUACCUGUGACACAGGACACGAGAGAAUGUGCUCAUGUGAACACAAGUGAAGGACACUCUCAAAGGUGUUCAUUCUUUAUCUAACCUAAGUAUUUUGGUGGUAAACACAAUUACCACUUGCUUAACAAGUGUAAAUUGGCGGCCUAUUUUUAUGUGAACAUUGCUUAAAGCAUUACAACUGAUGUCAUUAUGUCAAUAAAUUUGGUUUUAGUUUUCA